rnacentral:rRNA from 1 species
UACGUAGGUGGCAAGCGUUGUCCGGAUUUACUGGGCGUAAAGAGCGCGCAGGCGGUCGUUCAAGUCGCGUGUGAAAGCCCCCGGCUCAACUGGGGAGGGUCACGCGAUACUGAUCGACUCGAAGGCAGGAGAGGGAAGUGGAAUUCCCGGUGUAGUGGUGAAAUGCGUAGAUAUCGGGAGGAACACCAGUGGCGAAGGCGACUUCCUGGCCUGUAACUGACGCUGAGGCAUGAAAGCGUGGGGAGCAAACAGG